CAACUGAACAGUGUAUUCAAAUACAUCAAAUUCUCAUAAACUAGCUACGAAUUGUAAAUUGAGAAAAGAUAGCUACUAAUUGUUAACAGAUCCGAAAUAGCCCUUAAGCCCAAAACAAAUAUAAGCUCUAGCCAAAAUCUAAAAUUUCGCUCUACACUCUCUCUCCCACUUUUAUGCUGCCGCCGCUUGCUUUGGCUUUACUCACGCCUCUUUUCUUCUUCUUAUUGGAUGAAUUGAAAGUUUCCCAAAGUAAAUAUUUCCAUGAAAACUGUUUUUAUAUAAAGAGGACUCUAGAUCUAAAAUAGUUAAAUAUCAAUGGCUUUGGUUAAGAUCGGUUUUCAAAUGUGUUUCGUUUGAAGGAUUUGGAGGAAUUGGCCGAUUGGUGGCCAGGGUGGCUCUCCAAAGAGAUGAUGUUGAGCUAGUUUCUGUUAACGACCCUUUCAUUACCGUUAAAUACAUGGUACAUGGCAAUUACUAAUAGUUACAUAUGAAUUAAGCUUUAAUCUUAAUCUAGUUUGGGUUGGUUAUAUGUCUGUAUAUAUUUAGUUCAUCUUAUACAACACAACUUUUGUCCUUAAAUAUUCUUUCUCCGUACAAUACUUGCAACGGCUAACUAAUAUUGCGACUGGUGGCCACGCGCCUCCCCAUGGAAUUGCCGAACGGCGCCAUUCCGGCACGUCUGGAAGCUCCUGCAACUCCUGCUAACCCUACGAAUUCAACUACCACCAAAAAUCCAACUUUACCCUCCUAUGCUAACACAAUUUCUUUAGCCCCUUCUUCUUCGACUAACCCACUUCGCCGUGGGAAAGAAACUAUGAAAAAUAAGCAAAUUACACACACUGGUGUAUCUGCUGUCAUCUUCAAACACACCGAGUAUUAUGGUUUAACGGCAACUGAGUGCAAAUUCACUCUUGUUGGGCAAUUCCUAAGAGCUAGACCCCAAAUUGAUAGUCUUAGGUCGAGUCUCAAAGAACUCAUCAAGCUAAAAGGAACCGCCACAAUUGGGUUUUUUGACACCUAUAAUGUCUUCUUCGACUUUACGACUGAGGAAGAUUUUAACACUUUUUGUUAUAGACGAGUAAUCGACAUUGAAGUGCAGCAGAUGUGGCUCCAGAAAUGGUCACUGGACGUUAAGCCGGAGGAGGAUUUACCUAUUGCUCCGGUACACCCAGAUGAGCUGAAGCUAGCAUAGAAGAUGUUCCAGCGGAGUUGGUAGGCUCCACUUGUCCUGGAGUGCUGCCGAGUCAAGAGUAUAUGUGCCAUGAUGUUUUGUUCGAUGUUAGAGACUUUGCAGACAGAAUCGUGGGUUGGGAGUCAGUCCGUCAGCGGCUCCAUCAGCCGACGUGUCUUUAUAUGUAUACUAUAAAGUUUCUUAUGAUUACAGAUUUUGUGAUUAACAGAAAGAAAGUUUUUGAAAGUCUUAUUAUGUAUUUCAUGAUUAUUUGGUUUAGAGUCUAGAGAGAUUAAGUAUGUGAUAAGAGUCAGCGGGUUCGCUCGGCUCCGAAUAUGGGGUCGGGUGCCCAUCACACCCUAGUAAGGUCGGGGUGUGACAAUUUCGUUAGAACUGGAUAUGGCUACUAGAAAUAGAACCAGACCUAAUAUGGCCAAGGUUAGAGUCGAAAUUGACCUACUUAAACCUCAGCCAGAUCAAGUCUGGAUUGGAAUAGAAGAUGAAAACUCCCCCCUUAAGGGAUUUUUUCAAAAACUUGAAUAUGAGGGCAUCCCCAUAUAUUGCAAAUGUUGUAGGAAAUUGGGGCAUAUAAUUGUUGAUUGUCGGGUUCUUGAAAGAAAGAAGGCUGCUGAAGCCAGGAAGGCUGCAAAUGACAAUGCAAAAACCUCGUAUCAAACUGACAAUGCUAAGGAGGCUAGAAAAGAGGAAAAUGUUUGGAAUCACGAUAUGGUUAACGUUAGUACAAAUGAGAACCAAUAGAGGAGUGUUGCUAUUGAUGCUAAUCAUACUGCUACUAAAAAUGAUGCUAAUAUGAAGGAACAAGCUGAUCAGAUCAAGAGCAAAACUAGGCCUAGCAAAAAUACUAACAGGAGGAAUAUGCCUACCAAAACACCCAGUAUGCUCCCAAGGAUCAUUCAAUCUACCAAAAGGAAAAAAAAGGAAAAUGAAGAAAGAUAAGGAAUCCAAAGAAGUUACUAUUACUACUGAUGAACAGGUGAAUAAGACUAGCACCAAUGACAAACUGAUGAACAACAAUGAUCCAACUGAGAACCACCAGGAAGAAGAAGGGAGUAGCUCCAGCUCCCAUCAUUAGCAACAUGAAGAGAAUACUCAACACAACCCCAGUGAAGCAGAACUUGGAAAUAAUAACAACUUGGAGGUCGUGCACAACAACUACCGGGGUAAGGAACCUCAAGGUAUGCAACACUUAUUGUGGUAGCCUGAUGAUGAGUCUACUAGUAUCCCAUCAGAAAUCAAAGCACUACUAGGUAUAAAACUCACUAUUGAUUUGAAAACUGGCCCUACUACUGAGAAUGUGCAUAUCGAGGAACCUAUUCAAAACUACAAAAUGAAUUAGGGAACAAAAAGGAAACAACAACAAAAAGAGCAACACGCCAAAGAUGUGAACCAGCAUAUUGAAGUUUCCUCUACCAACAGGGUCAUUGUUAUGAUACCAGAGGAUCAUCUCCAAUCAAAACAUUUCAAGACCAACAUUAAUGAUGGGUUUUCUCCCGCAAAGAAGAUCAAGAACAGAAACAAGAGAAACAACAAGAAGAACAAAGACAAAAUCUCCUUCUCUAAAAAGGGAGAAAGCAGAAAUUGAUUACCCCCCACUGUUUCUAUGAUUAGUUCCAUUUUUUGGAAUAUUAAGGGGGUAAAAUCUAGGAAAGCCAUCCACAGGCUUAUAAAACUCAUUCAAAUGUACAAAGUGGAUCUCACUGUUAUCAUAGAAUCCUUUGUCAAUAUGAACAAGCUUAGUAAAUACAUGAUAUUUCUGGG